rnacentral:rRNA from 1 species
AGAGCGAACGCUGGCGGCAUGCCUAACACAUGCAAGUCGCACGGUUCGGGGGCGACUUCGGGCAGUGGCGGACGGGUGAGCAACGCGUAGGGAUCUAUCCUUGGAUGGGGGACAACCGCGGGAAACCGCGGCUAAUACCGCAUGAUGCCUGAGGGCCAAAGCUCGCGAGAGCGUCUGGGGAGGAGCCUGCGUCCGAUUAGCUAGUUGGUAAGGUAACGGCUUACCAAGGCUACGAUCGGUAGCUGGUCUGAGAGGAUGAUCAGCCACACUGGGACUGAGACACGGCCCAGACUCCUACGGAGGCAGCAGUGGGGAAUAUUGGACAAUGGGCGCAAGCCUGAUCCAGCAAUGCCGCGUGGGUGAAGAAGGUCUUCGGGUUGUAAAGCUCUUUUACCCGGGAAGAUAAUGACUGUACCGGGAGAAUAAGCCCCGGCUAACUCCGUGCCAGCAGCCGC